AUGGAAGCUAUCAGCCUGUGGCACUGCUGAGGUGUUAUGGAAGACCAGGAUAGUUCAAUAGCUGUCUUCAGCUCUUCUGCAUUGUUCGGUCUCAUGUCUCACAUCUUUCUCUUGGCAAUGCCCCAUAGAUUCUCUAUGGGGUUCAGGUCAGGAGAGUUUGCUGGCCAAUCAAGCACAAUAAUCCCAUGGUCAUUGAACCAGGCUUUGGUGCUUUUGGCAUUGUGGGCAGGUGCCAAGUCCUGCUGGAAAAUGAAGUCAGCAUCCCCAUAAAGCU